AUUGAACGCUGGCGGCAGGCCUAACACAUGCAAGUCGAGCGGAGCGGCGGACGGGUGAGUAAUGCCUAGGAAUCUGCCUGGUAGUGGGGGAUAACGUCCGGAAACGGGCGCUAAUACCGCAUACUAUCAGAUGAGCCUAGGUGGGAUUAGCUAGUUGGUGGGGGAAAGGCCUACCAGGGCGACGAACCUGAUCUGGUCUGAGAGGAGGAUCAGUCAAACUGGAACUGAGACACGGUCCAGACUCCUACGGGAGGCAGAAGUGGGGAAUAUUGGACAAUGGGCGAAAGCCUGAUCCAGCCAUGCCGCGGGUGUGAAGAAGGUCUUCGGAUUGUAAAGCACUUUAAGUUGGGAGGCGUUACCUACAGAAUAAGCACCGGCUAACUUCGUGCCAGCAGCCGCGGUAAUUC
rnacentral:rRNA from 1 species